rnacentral:rRNA from 1 species
ACGCUCGACACCUACGGGAGCCAGCAGUGGGGAAUAUUGCACAAUGGAGGAAACUCUGAUGCAGCGAUGCCGCGUGAGGGAAGAAGGUUUUCGGAUUGUAAACCUCUGUCUUUGGGGACGAUAAUGACGGUACCCAAGGAGGAAGCUCCGGCUAACUACGUGCCAACAGCCGCGGUAAUCUGAGCGGGCGUGGCGAAGGC